rnacentral:misc_RNA from 1 species
GUGAAGAACGUAGCGAAAUGCGAUAAGUAAUGUGAAUUGCAGAAUUCCGUGAAUCAUCGAGUCUUUGAACGCACAUUGCGCCCCCUGGUAUUCCGGGGGGCAUGCCUGUCCGAGCGUCAUUGCUGCCCUCAAGCACGGCUUGUGUGUUGGGCCCCGUCCUCCGAUCCCGGGGGACGGGCCCGAAAGGCAGCGGCGGCACCGCGUCCGGUCCUCGAGCGUAUGGGGCUUUGUCACCCGCUCUGUAGGCCCGGCCGGCGCUUGCCGAUCAACCCAAAUUUUUAUCCAGGUUGACCUCGGAUCAGGUAGGGAUACCCGCUGAACUUAAGCAUAUCAAUAAGCGGAGGA